rnacentral:rRNA from 1 species
CCUACGGGGGGCAGGUUUCGUCUACAAGACCCACGCCACCGAGGACCGGGCACUUGAUGCGCGAGGCGAAGUUGACGACAUCGUAGUAACGGCUGGCCUCGAUUACCUUGGCAGGGUCCUUGCCUUCUGUCCGGUAGUACCAGGCGGGCCAGCCCGGGCUCCGGCCGGCUUGCGGGCCUGUGAAGUCGCAGCCGGCGGGGACGCAGGCGAUGGCGGCGGUGAUCUUGGGAGGGAACCCAGCGGUCAUGAGCGUUUGCUGUCCGCCUUGGCUGGAGCCGGGGACGAGGAGCACCUUGCCGUUCCAAUCCGGGCGCUCGGUGAGGUAUUGGGCGGCGCGGUAGCAGGAGAGAUACAUGCGCAGGAAGUAGCUCGAGUCGCGGUCGUCGUUGCCGAUACCCUUGUAGUC